AUUGAACGCUGGCGGCAGGCCUAACACAUGCAAGUCGAACGUGUGGAGGACGGGUGAGUAAUGUCUGGGAAACUGCCUGAUGCAGGGGGAUAACUACUGGAAACGGUAGCUAAUACCGCAUACCAUCACAUGUGCCCAGAUGGGCUUAGCUUUUUGGUGGGGUAACGGCUCACCAAGGCGCGGAACCCUAGCUGGUCUGAGAGGAUGACCGGCCAACCUGGAACGAGGACACGGUCCGGACUCCUACGGGAGGCAGCAGUGGGGAAUAUUGCACAAUGGGGGCAAGCCUAAUGCGGCAAUCCCCGUGGUAGAAAGAAGGCCUUCGGGUUGAAAAGUACUUUGAGCGGGGAGGCGUUACCCACAGAAGAAGCACCGGCUAACUACGUGCCAGCAGCCGCGGUAAUUC
rnacentral:rRNA from 1 species